rnacentral:lncRNA from 1 species
AAAAAAAAAAAAAAAAACCAUUCAGUUCCUAGCUAUAACACCAGUAAAAAGAUUUGACACAAUCCCAAGCAGAAUUAAUGAAACCCAACAAAAAAAUGUAAAUCUGAGCAGAUGGGAUCAUAAUCCCCAAUAAAAAAUCCAGAAUCAAUUUUAAAAAAAAAAAUCAAUAAAUGGGAUUUCUCAAAAAAGUUUCUUUCUUUUCUAAUAAAAAAAAAAAAAAGAAAAUCAAAGAAUUAAUUGGAAAUAAAAUGAAAAAGAUUAUACCUUUAGGUCGAGACGUUUUUCCCAGCCAGAGGGUACUUGCAAAUCGAGGUCCAACUCUUUAGAGUCAAGAGCAGAACAUCCACCAAGGAAAUCCCUUGUGAUCGGGGCCGUUGACUUCCCUGCUAAUGCUGACUCAUUUGAAUCACAACCGUUGAUAAGUCUGAUCACAGAACUGACCUCAGUGCCCAUAUCCCACCAAGAAAAUCUUCUACUUUUUUGCAGAACCCAAUAGAAAGAGAAGAAGAAAGUUAAAGACUUUAUAGAGAGAAAGAGAUAAAACUGAGUGGAUGAAUGGAUUUGAAUUAAAUAGAGAGGAGAAGGUGCAAUGAGUAAAUUGAAUCUGAUUGUAUAUAAAUGAAGACAAAAUGCAAAUUACUACAAUUAUUUAAUAAAGAGUUUAUUGUUGAUUUUGAUUCGUAUGGAUGGGAUUUUUUUUUUAAUUUUGGGGGGUCAUUGAAUGCAAUGGGAACACUAAAGGACAGUUGUCAAUUAAUGUGAAGACCUUUUGGGUUCCGAAGCUCUCAUU